ACUCCUACGGGAGGCAGCAGUGGGGAAUAUUGGACAAUGGGGGAAACCCUGAUCCAGCCAUGCCGCGUGUGUGAAGAAGGCCUUCGGUUGUAAAGACACUUUCUAGUGGGAGGAAGGUUAGAUGGUUAAUACCUAUCAGCUGUGACGUUACCCACAGAAGAAGCACCGGCUAACUCCGUGCCAGCAGCCGCGGUAAUACGGAGGGGUGCAAGCGUUAAUCGGAAUUACUGGGCGUAAAGCGUGCGCAGGCGGUCUGUUAAGCGAGAUGUGAAAGCCCCGGGGCUCAACCUGGGAACUGCAUUUCGAACUGGCAGACUAGAGUCUUGUAGAGGGGGGUAGAAUUCCAGGUGUAGCGGUGAAAUGCGUAGAGAUCUGGAGGAAUACCGGUGGCGAAGGCGGCCCCUGGACAAAGACUGACGCUCAGGCACGAAAGCGUGGGGAGCAAACAGGAUUAGAUACCCUGGUAGGAUAGCG
rnacentral:rRNA from 1 species